ACUUUGCAGAGCAUAUUCUGACUGGGAGCUAGCUUCAGGAAAAGAAUAUUGCUUUUCAGUUGGCCUCUUGCCUUGACUGAUGAGAUGUUAACAGCUCCUAAGAAGAAGAAAAUCCAUAUGCCAAAGACGACCGUGGGCUCAAUUUCCUACAGAGGAAGAGUGUUGGAUGAAGCAUGGAAGCAGGUUUAAAUGGGGCUAAUAAAAGAAGUCUCCACAGUUGUGCACAAAUAGUAUAAGAUGGGGUGCAAAACCUGUGCUCCCCCAGCUCUGGUUCAGUGACAAGAGGACAAUCACACAGGUGACAGAAGCGUGCCAGCAUGAUAUGAAGGAACAUUGGCUCUGGUCUACCGAGAGCUUUGUAAAUGCCUAGUGAUCUGCUUAGGGCAAGUCAUGUGCAAGCACCUGAGAACUUGCUACGCUUCAGGCAUCGGAACACAUCAAGUUCACUGCUGAACAUGGAUUUCAUCGACCAAUCAUUAUACUCCCUAAGUCAUGAGGACUGUGCAGGGGAGAGGAAGCAUCCAAACGUUAAUGGCUAUUGAAACAUCCACUGAAAUGUCACCAUCCUCUGCAAGUUGAGAUGACUAUUUCAUAGUCAUGAAAAGAGAAUAGAAGACCCGUCGAAGAACGUUUGCUUCCUGUUACAAGAAAACGUUUUUAUUCUUCUUAAACGAACAAACUGAUCGGCUGUGAGUUUGUACAGGAACCCCUUAUUGAUAUCUGAAAGCAUCCAAAAACAUUCUCCCACCUUAGUACUUUUUUAUGCCAGUAAGAUCAGCUGAGACAGAUAGAAUAAGCAACAGAGAUUUAUACUACCCAGAAAGUGUUUAGCUACUGAGAAGUGAAGACGCAGUGAAUGAAUGACUUGGUUUAUUAUAUUUUUUCCCACAUGGCUUUGCAUUAGAGGGGUUAGCUUUCUCCAUCCAAUUUACUCUGAUCAAAUAAUGUCAGUGUAUUAGGUUUAAUGGGCCCACUUCAAAUUAGAUUAAAGAAAUCAUAUUUAACA